UUUGAAAGCCUAUUUAGCGUUGUAAUUAUUUUAUCUUAUCUAAUAUAAGUAGGUAGUUGCCAUGGAAAUACUUAUGAAUAUUAUAUUCUUAAAAAGGGAAGACCUUGUUUUGUUCUUUUUUAGAUGGUUAUUUUGUUCUUUCUAAUAUAAAUAGGUAGUGGCUCGACAAAAAAUUUAAUCAGGCAUUAAAAAUAUAAAUUUUAAAACAAUUGUUUUUGUUUGGCAGUGUAUAUGCUGAAAACUUCAAUUGGGCGCUCGUGAGCUAAUUUUGUUUCGUUCUAUCUCAAUAGUUAAAAUGGAAAUAGGAGAGUCGAUGACAUCUUACUUUUUUUUUAUUCUUAUCUAUAAACAGACUGGGCAAAAAACUUGAGGCGCUCGUGAGGUCAUAUUGUUUCGUUCUAUCAAUAAAAACUAAAAAUAAGACAGGAGAGUCGAUCUGUCGAUGCCAAAAGGAUUAUUACAGGAGUCAGAACCGGCAUUAGGAAAGAGUACGGACGCUAUGCAAAUCGUGCUAUCAUAUCCUUGGACUAUAUGUUGCCAUUAGGAAAGACUUUGGACGCUAUACAAAUCAUGAUAUCAUAUUCUUGGACUACACGCCUGGGCGUGUGUGACUAUAUCUGUAGUUUUUUUUUAGAGAGACUAUAUCUGUAGGUUAGUUAUUUCUUCCCGGGGCAUAUGUGACUCAAUCUGAUCGUCUUCUCGGUUCUAGCUGGCCGCGUUACACGGCGGGGAGAAGCAGGACGGCGAUAGCCGAAGCACGGCACAGAUCGCUUCCGGCUAGCUGUUGCCAAUUGAAGUAAGUGCAUCCACUCCCCUGUACCACCUCAGACGGUCCAUCCGGCUACCAUAUCGACAUAUCGUACGAGGCGUUACAGCGCCGCCGCAUCGCACCAGCUACCACACCGCUCCUCCGCCUCUCCCUCUUACCUCCAUUCUUCCACCACAGGCAUCGGAUUUGCUCGUCGACGACGGGGACAACGUCGCUCAUCCUCAACCUGUCCCCAACUGGCCACCGUCCCGUCACCAACUGUGCUCAGAAUUUGCAGUAUCUAUCCAUCACCUGACGAAUGCGCAGAGUUUAGACUUGCCAGUGCUCCCGGCUUGGCCCCAACUCCCAAAGCAUCGAUCGAGCCAACCCCUGCAAGGUAAAUUGUGUGAACAACUGAACUGUUACUUCUGCUGUUGUAUUGUGUGUACGAAUGUUACUAUGAUGUAGCAUAGAUAGAUGCAUGGUUUUGCAAUGACAGUGAGAAUAUAUAUGUUUUUGUAUAAGACAUCCACAAGUCAGUGGCCUUUGGAAACCAAGCAUAUAUGCUGUACUUAGGAAAGACAAUGUUUAGGAGGUUGCCUGAGUAUAUGUUCUCAUCAAUCUUGAAGGGGUUAAAUUUGUGCCCGUUUUGUUAUUUCAGUUUAGUAGUGGGUUCACUAGUUGUGUUAGUAGUAGAUUUUGCUUCAAUGCGGUGUAAGCAUAAUUUUGCUAACGGUAAACUAUUUUGUUGUAGUGCACUGUGAUGUGGACCCUUGCUCUGAGCCAUUGAAAAAUAAAAUUGGGUUUGUUGGGCACCGAAGAUUUCUGCCUACCAAGCAUGGAGAAAGGUCGGUCUUUUUGUUUUGUGGUGAUUGGUUUGAUCUCCAUGGCAAGGCGACCGGCAUGAAAGAUGAUGGUUACUUCAAAAGUCUUAAUGUUAAGGUGCUUCAAUACAAGAAGGAUACUUUCAUCUUGGCUUCUCAAGCAGAACAAGUGUUUUUACAUGGAGGACACAAAAUAUGGAAAUGACUGGAAUGUGGUGCAGACUUUCAGUCAUAGACAUUUGUACGAUGUUCCUGAACUAGAGACAGGCGAGCUCAAUGCUACAGAUGCAUACCAGGAAGAAAUGCCCUCGACAACUUGCACUGUGAAGGAUAUUGAUCAAUUGUUCGACACUUAUAGCCAUGAUGAUGAAGAAGGCACGCCUGUUCAUGCUAGUAUUGUUCACGAUCUUCUCAAAGAUGACAACAAUUAUGAUGAAGAUAGUGGUACUGACGAUGAUGGACAGGAAGAUGGUGCAUUGAGCGAGAAUGAGCAUUCAAGUGAUGAUGAGUAGAUUGUGUAAUGCCUAGUUGUAUUUUACCAAAGUUUAGCUCUUUUAAGUUUUUUAUAUGUUCAUGUUCACAUAAUACAGUAGAGAACAUGGUUCAGAUUUGAGACAUACAUGGGUGAUUUGGUCAGUACUUACAGGUAAUUGGACUCGUAGAUAGUUUUACUUGACAUCUAACUGAUACGUGUGUGCAAAAGUGCAGUACUGAACAUGGCGAUUGAUCAAGCACUCACCCUGCUGCCCUCUUUGCACGCGUGUUCCCCUUUGCACGCGCCUGCUGAAGAACCACCGAGACCCGAUCCUUCUCCUCUCGCGCGACCACUCCCGACUUCUCCCCUGCACCGCGUGCAUCCUCAAGCACCGCCUGGGCCCCCGCAGAACGGCUGGAGGAAGAAGCCGCGCCGUGGGAGCAGCGGGGGAAGGGACCGCCACUGUGCUUCGGACAGCACGCUGUUGCGGAACCGCCGCCGGCGAAGCAGGCGCCCCUGCAGCUCGAGCAGCAAGCAGAGGGGCGAGGGCGCUCGGCCGGAACGGCGCUCUUUGGGAGCCACCGGCGGCGAGGUGCGGCAGCGGGUCGUCUUGGCCUUCACGCGGGGUGCGGCGUGAUUUGGGGAAUUUUUGUGGAUAACGACAUGGAGGAG
rnacentral:lncRNA from 1 species